GAUAUGAAAUCCAACACCAACAGCAAAAAAAAUCUAAAUUCAAAACUUUACCAUCCUUGAAUCGUAGAUAUAAACGUCUUUAAAUGCUUGACAGUUGUAUCUCAUGAUUCUCAUUCUCUCAUGAGCGUCGAACGGAUUUCGUCGUUCGAAGCCGGUACUCGCCCCGUUUGUCUGAGUCCAGAACAGCAACAGAGAAGAUGUCGUACCCUGAGUGUGGAGAUGUGUGUGUGUGUGUGUGUGUGUGUGUGUGUAUGUGGUGAACGUUGCCGCGACAAGCAUGCUGUAGGAUACAAUGCGUGUAGGAGGGGGUAAAAUCGCUUGGCUCAUUGAAAAUACACGCAAAGUUGGCGCGAAGAAAACGCAACACUGCGGAUUAUACGGAAAAUGUUGCGCGUUCAAUCCGAUUGCCAUGCGAUUGUCCUGGGGGAACUCUAACCCUGAACCAACCGAAGAAACGAAUCUUGAGAUUCGUAUGGUGAGUGCUACCGUAAUGAUAACGCCUACUAAUUUUCCUUUGUUUACGUGUUACAGCUACAAGCGAUUGUCGCGUAUCAUUGCAUACUGCAUUCACUGCGCACGUAACACUAAGGAAAGGUCACGCACUCAACGAACAGCAGCACACCACCACGCACCUUUAAUCAUCACUACCGAGCGCAUGAAAACUGCAAACACUGUGCUACACCAUACAGCGCAGCUGGAUGCAUUUUCAAUGGAUCCUGGGCAGCCCGAAAAAGGCAACGUGGUGACGAAACAAACACCCUGGCGAACACUAUCUUCACUCCUAGACCCUCUAGGAAUCAUUUGAGUAGGAGAAAUAUUACGGCAUACUCAACAGCCCUACCAUGCAAAGCAUCCUGUCCUGCUAAAAUGCAGUCGUUUACGCACAUGAUCGACAAGUGCCGUUUCACGGAGCUUCAUCAGCAAGAAGGAAGAUCAUUGCUCUCGAUGGUACGGGAUGAACAUUGGCCGUUAGAUGAUUGCAACCGAAUUUGCACUUGGCACUUUCCUCUACCCACAUCACCACCCUCUUGCGGAUUGUGGAAGGCAGCAGCGAAGACCGUCAAGCGAUAACCACCUACACUGCAGCUUUCACCUGCACUACCGGUCUAAACUUAAUCGAGGCAACGACGCGUUCGCGUCCUCUUCUAUCGAUGCCUGAUGACCCUAUCGAUUAGUCGUCACUUACCCCAGCGUAUUUCCUAGUCGGCACAUAGGUUCAGCAUUUUUCGACGGCUUGCCUACAAGAAGUACAACGCGUUUAUUCUAUGGCGAUGAUGAACAACAGCUUAGCUUACCUGGCAGACAGAUUAUCCCGGAGAUCGGUUUGCUCCUUCGCAACACCACAUGGCAUACGCACACCAAAGACGAUAAGUUGGUAACAUGCCCCCUCAUAAGAAUUUGUAUCUUACCUGCAUCUGAACGUGAAGGCACAUACUUUCGUUAUCUUUAUUUGUUAUUGUUUUGAUUAUUGACUUGCGUCAAGGGGGGGAGGAUGUUCAGGCUUAGGCACGGAAGCCCUGACAGUUGAUUCGUGUUUAACGAAACACGAAGAUCAUUCGUUGAGUUCGGAGCGUUCGGGCACGAUCGAUUAGUUUAUAAGUAUAAGUGAAUUGCGUGAAAUAAACUCUCUUCUAAUUGUGCAAUACAAGGAACAACACCCGGUAAUUAUAAAACGCUAGAAAAAGUUACACCGAAACGCGAAAGAACAUUAUCCGAAAUCGUAAGUGUGGGAUCCUAGAGUAAGAAAGAGAAAGAAUGCGAUGUAUGAUGGUUGAAGGCAGUCGGAGUUGAGCAGCAAAUAAAGAAGGUUGUGUUCUGGUAACGAA